CAGGGAUUGCCUCAGUAACGGCGAGUGAAGCGGCAACAGCUCAAAUUUGAAAUCUGACCCCCCCGGGGCCCGAGUUGUAAUUUGCAGAGGGUGCUUCGGGCGCGGCGCCGGUCUAAGUUCCUUGGAACAGGACGUCGUAGAGGGUGAGAAUCCCGUAUGCGACCGGCGGCCAAGCCCAGGUGAAGUCCUUUCGACGAGUCGAGUUGUUUGGGAAUGCAGCUCAAAACGGGUGGUAAAUUUCAUCUAAAGCUAAAUACCGGCCAGAGACCGAUAGCGGACAAGUAGAGUGAUCGAAAGAUGAAAAGCACUUUGAAAAGAGAGUCAAACAGUACGUGAAAUUGUUGAAAGGGAAGCGCUUGCGAUCAGACCGGCCCGGGGGCGAUCAGCCGCGGCUCGUCCGCGGUGCACUCGCCCUCGAUCCGGCCAGCAUCGGUCUGGGCGGCGGGAGAAAAGUCCCGGGAACGUAGCUUCCCUCGGGGAGUCUUAUAGCCCGGGUCGCCAUGCCGCCCGCCCGGACCGAGGACCGCGCUUCGGCUAGGAUGCUGGCGUAAUGGUCGCAAGCGACCCGUCUUGAAACACGGACCAAGGAGUCUAACAUCUAUGCGAGUGUUUGGGUGUCAAACCCGGGCGCGGAAUGAAAGUGAACGGAGGUGGGAACCCGUCGCACGGCGCACCAUCGACCGAUCCAGAUGUCUUCGGAUGGAUUUGAGUACGAGCAUAGCUGUUGGGACCCGAAAGAUGGUGAACUAUGCCCGGAUAGGGUGAAGCCAGAGGAAACUCUGGUGGAGGCUCGCAGCGGUUCUGACGUGCAAAUCGAUCGUCAAAUCUAGGCAUAGGGGCGAAAGACCAAUCGAACCAUCUAG
rnacentral:rRNA from 1 species